rnacentral:rRNA from 1 species
CUGUGGCUAAGCCGCACCGACAGCGCCAGGGCUUGGAGUGGUCUUGACCUGCAGUUCUCCGCCGACGAGCGCGCCUUUUUCUUUGCCUCGACCACCAUGCAGAUAGGCAACGGCCAGCUCGCCUUGUUCUGGGAGGACCGCUGGAUUGACGGACGCUCCGUCAGCGCGAUCGCGCCGGCGUUAUACUCUUGCAUCCCCAAGAUACGCCGCAAGCUGUGGACGGUGGCGGAUGGCCUUCAGGCCAACAGUUGGGCGCGCGACAUACAUGGCACCAUUGGGAUUCAAGAGAUCGGCGAGUACCUGCAACUAUGGCACAUGAUUGAGCACACAACGCUCUCUGCCGAGCUAGAUCAUCUACUCUGGAAGUGGAGCUCCAAUGGCACCUACUCCGUGCAGUCCGCCUACCUUGCCACGUUCCACGGAUCCACCGCAUGUUAUGCUUGGAAGCUCACUUGGAAAUGCUGGGCGCCGCCACAGGUACGCUUCUUCCAUUGGCUCGCCCACUUAGACCGGUGUUGGACCGCUGACCGCCUCACCCGUCGCGGCUUGCAGCACCCCGCGUGCUGUCCACUCUGUGACCAGGCGCCGGACACCCUCCGGCAUCUCCUCCUCGCCUGCCCAUUCUCCUGGCAGGUAUGG